GUGGGGAAUAUUGGGCAAUGGGCGCAAGCCUGACCCAGCAACGCCGCGUGAGGGAAGAAGGCUUUCGGGUUGUAAACCUCUGUCCUUGGUGACGAAACAAAUGACGGUAGCCAAGGAGGAAGCCCCGGCUAACUACGUGCCAGCAGCCGCGGUAAUACGUAGGGGGCGAGCGUUGUCCGGAAUUACUGGGCGUAAAGGGUGCGUAGGUGGCCUUUUAAGUUGGAUGUGAAAUACCCGGGCUUAACUUGGGGGGUGCAUCAAAAACUGGGAGGCUAGAGUGCAGGAGAGGAAAGAGGAAUUCCUAGUGUAGCGGUGAAAUGCGUAGAUAUUAGGAGGAACACCAGUGGCGAAGGCGGCUUUCUGGACUGUAACUGACACUGAGGCACGAAAGCGUGGGGAGCAAACAGGAUUAGAAACCCUGGUAGUCC
rnacentral:rRNA from 1 species